AUGGAUGGGAUUGAUCUGGACUUGCGUAGCCGGCUCACCUUAACUGCUACCAAUGAACCUGCUACCUUGAGAUUGUUGUUGCAGGAUGUGCACCGUACGGGAACUCCGGACAAAAGAUUGCUGCUCAACGGGGCCGCCUUCUCGACCAAGGGUGCAUACGACGCCCUUGCCUCUCAGCUGGCUGACCCUAACCUCAUCCACAUAUGGGACUCGAGGGUCCCUAGUCGGGUGAGGGUGUUUGGAUGGUUGUUCUACCUCGCCAGGCUUAACACUCGAGCCAAUCUACGCCACAAGUCCAUCAUCGAGACAUCAUCCUGUCCCCGUUGCGGCAGUGCGCCGGAGGAUCGUGCUCACCUCUUCUUCACUUGCCCCGCUGCCAUCGCCAUAUGGGACGCGCUCGGACUACACCCGGUCUCCUCACCGCUUUCAGAGCUGUGGAGCAUGCCAUGUCACCCCACCCUACCGUAGUCCGUGUGGCCAUUCAUCCUUCUGCUUCUACUCUGGAAAAUUUGGGAUGCAAGGAAUGCUAUGACCUUCAGAGGGGUUAACCAAACCCCACAUGAUGUAAUUAGGGCAGUAAUCUCCGACCUCGCUCUCUGGUCACACCGCCUCUCAAAGGCGGAACAAAUAAUCCAUGCCGGUCUGUGGUGGGAUUUCUUCUCCUCUCGUCUUACCUAA
rnacentral:rRNA from 1 species